GCCCACGGCCAUACUAUCCUGAAUACGCCCAAUCACGUCUGAUCUUGGAAGCUAAGCAGGUAAGGCCUGGUCAGUACUUGGAUGGGAGACCUCCAGGGAAUACUAGGUGCUGUGGGCC